rnacentral:tRNA from 1 species
UCCCUGGUGGCUCAGAUGGUAAAGAAUCUGCCUGCAGUGCAGGGGACCUGGGUUCGAUCCCCGGGUGGGGAA